GAUGAACGCUAGCGGGAGGCCUAACACAUGCAAGCUGAGCGGUAGAGUUUCUUCGGAGACUUGAGAGCGGCGUACGGGUGCGGAACACGUGUGUAACCUGCCUUUAUCAGGGGGAUAGCCUUACGAAAGGAAGAUUAAUACCCCAUAAUAUAUAGAGUGGCAUCACUUUAUAUUGAAAACUGAGGUGGAUAAAGAUGGGCACGCGCAAGAUUAGAUAGUUGGUGAGGUAACGGCUCACCAAGUCGAUGAUCUUUAGGGGGCCUGAGAGGGUGAUCCCCCACACUGGUACUGAGACACGGACCAGACUCCUACGGGAGGCAGCAGUGAGGAAUAUUGGACAAUGGGUUAGCGCCUGAUCCAGCCAUCCCGCGUGAAGGACGACGGCCCUAUGGGUUGUAAACUUCUUUUGUACAGGGAUAAACCUAUUUACGUGUAAAUAGCUGAAGGUACUGUACGAAUAAGCACCGGCUAACUCCGUGCCAGCCGCCGCCGUAA
rnacentral:rRNA from 1 species